rnacentral:tRNA from 1 species
GGAGGCGUGGCAGAGUGGUCGAUUGCACUGGUCUUGAAAACCAGCAAAGGGCAACCUUUCGUGAGUUCGAAUCUCACCGCCUCCGCCA